UAGGGAAUCUUCCACAAUGGACGCAAGUCUGAUGGAGCAACGCCGCGUGAGUGAAGAAGGAUUUCGGCUCGUAAAGCUCUGUUGUUAAAGAAGAACGUGGGUAAGAGUAACUGUUUACCCAGUGACGGUAUUUAACCAGAAAGCCACGGCUAACUACGUGCCGG
rnacentral:rRNA from 1 species